rnacentral:misc_RNA from 1 species
AAAUCCACCCCAUCUUGACCUGUUUCCGGUCGUAGAACAUGUCAAAAUUAUCUCAGUAGAUGCACUUACUCUCAAAUCUAAUAUUUAUCAUUAGCGCAAGUGACAUUCAGCGAAGAGAUUACUGAUAUCAGAGAUGAUGAUAGCAUAAGAAAAAACAACGGAAAGGUUUGCAAUUUAUUUAACCAGCUCCAACCACUGCACUGCUUAGCAAACUUACUUGGGUCUGAUUCUUGGUAACACGCAGUUAACGACUUAGGGUUAGCAGAGAAUUGAUAAUGGCUUUUGGCCUUGCUGUUUCUGCCUCACUUUGCAUUUUGAA